rnacentral:lncRNA from 1 species
CCACCCACCCAGAGCCACCCAGCUGUGCCCCAAGCCCCGUGCCAGGGCCAGGGCCUCGCUCUGCUCAGCACUGCCUCUUAGACCAGCAAGGAGGAGGACGCAGCAGCCCAGCCUGGUGGCGUCGCAGCGUGCCCCGAAUCUGCUUGCUAACGUCUGUUUACAAACGGAGGGCCUAUCUGGUGCCACGCCGAGGGUAGUCGUGUCUCCCAGACCUUCUCCUGCCAAAAGGUCAGACUUGGGGUACAGGCCAGGAGAAUGUCCGAGCGUCAGAGACUCUAAGAUGGGCAGCGGCUCUUGGUGUCCGAGCUGGUCUCAUGAGGUGGCCGCCCCGGGUAGAGCUCUGAGACCUCCGUCCUCAGAGGGAAGACUCCCCAAAUUCCCAUAGAGCUCUGCACCAUUUUGGCUCGGGCAGGACGGGGAUGCUGGGGGCGGGGGUCCCACUGUUCUGUGCUGAGCCUAGGACCCUACUUGAGAUGAACGUGUAACUGUUCCCCGGAGGGUAAGAAGCGCCGCAUUCUUGGGUUUCUCCUAAUGGAAUAAAGUCGGGCAUGGCUCCCGUGUCCCUGCGUUGGCAGGAAAUUAGAUCCCAGUCAAUGUUCUUGGUUCUCACCUCCAGGCUGGGCUGAGUGCCUUCAGUGCC